ensembl:lncRNA
UUAUAUUUUCACAAAUCAGAGAAACUUUAUAAAUGGCUAGUUACAUAUAACUAUAGGUUACAGUUCCAUACCGUACCACGGUAUAUCUUCACAUGUUUACAUACAACUACACAGUACAGUACCAGAGGACUGUUAGACAAAUAGCUAGCGUCACCCUGUGGCUGUUGAAGCAGCCCUGUGUGGAUAAUGAAGGCAUACAAGGUUUCUUCUUUCAGCACAUUGACGACUACAGCUGGUCUCAAUUCAAUCUCUACCUACCCCUUCCCCUUGGCCCUAAUAUGGACAUGUUUGCCGAUCUGAAGGGUCUGGAUAGAUAUUAGCAGGGUAGAGGUGAAGCUUCCGCCAUACAGAUCUGCAAACAUUAAAGGUUAGGUCCAUGGGCAGUAGGUGGAGGGAGGCCUUUGCUGAGCCACUGAGGCGUUCUGAUGCUGCUGCAGGGCACUGUUGGCUAUGUAGAACAGCUACUGUAGCUGACGGCCUGUCACCAUGGGCGGGCACCAUAGACAUAUAUAUUAACCCUGGGCAGGCACCAUAGACAUACAUGUUAACCCUGGGGAGGCACCAUAGACAUACAUGUCAACCCUGGGGAGGCACCAUAGACAUACAUAUUAACCCUGGGGAGGCACCAUAGACAUACAUAUUAACCCUGGGGAGGCACCAUAGACAUACAUAUUAACCCUGGGGAGGCACCAUAGACACACAUAUUAACCCUGGGGAGGCACCAUAGACAUACAUGUUAACCGUGGGCAGGCACCAUAGACAUACAUAUUAACCCUGUGAGGCACCAUAGACAUACAUAUUAACCCUGGGCAGGCACCAUAGACAUACAUAUUGUGCUUCUACACCUGCAUUGCUUGCUGUUUGGGGUUUUAGGCUGGGUUUCUGUACAGCACUUUGAGAUAUCAGCUGAUGUAAGAAGGGCUUUAUAAAUACAUUUGAUUUGAUAUUAACCAUGGCUGUGCGCCUCAGGGAGUCAGUGAAAGGGACUCCAAACGAGCCCUGAUUACAGUAUCACAGGGCAUACGGUAUGCACAUACCCAUCUAUUGACCCUGCUGAAUUACUGAAAUGGAUCCUACGGAGGAAGGGAUGUUCAUUUAAUGUUCUACAGCAGGAGAGAAUCCAGAUGAUGAAAACUGGAAGGAUCAUUAUCGGCAACAUAACUAAAUAAAUAUGAACACAGUUAGUAACAACAAUGAAAGGCACAUUAAGGUACGAAUAAGAAUCAAGACCCAAUGCAAUUUUGGAGGAGAGUCAGAGAGAGAACACUCCAACAACAUAGCCUACAGACAGGUAUCUUGGCAUACCAAAGUGCCUCGGAGACACGGGUGAGAGUGCCACAGAAUCAUACAUGGUUCAUUCUUGAAUUGUGGUGGCAUGUGUCCCUUUGCAACCAUGAAAAAUGGACAAAUAGUUAGACAAUAAUAAAACAAUUUGUAUUUAUUAUGUACCCCCAUUAGCUGCUGCCAAGGCAGCAAAAUGAAGGCAGUUCAUACAAUUAUAAAAACAUUACAUUCAGACUGUGUGCCCUCAGGUCCCCUACUGCACCACAUAUAUACCGUACAAAAUCCAUGUGCACAUGACUAUAUAGUGCGUAUGCUAUCGUGUGUUUAUGCUCCAUAAACAGGGGACUGUGAAUGUGGUGACUGUGAAUGUGGGGACUGUGAAUGUAUUGAUUCACAGUCCCCGAUGUUCAAUAAGGUGUUUAAAAGAUUUUAAAAAAUAUAUUAAAAAUAUAUAUUUUUGUAUCUAAUUUUACUGCUUGCAUGAGUUACGAGAUGUGGAAUAGAGUUCCAUGUAGUCAUGGCUCUAUUUAGUACUGUGUGCUUUCCAUAGUCUGUUCUGGACUUGGGGACUGUGAAGAGACCUCUUGUGGCAUGUCUUGUGGGAUAUGCCUGGGUGUCCGAGCUGUGUCCCAGGAGUUCAAACAGACGGCUAGGUGCAUUCAACAUGUCAAUACCUCUCAUAAAUACAAGUAGUGAUAAAGUCCAUCUCUCCUCCAUUUUGAACCAGGAGAGAUUGACAUGCAUAUUAUUAAUAUUAGCUCUAUGUGUACAUCCAAGGGCCAGCCGCGCUGCCCUGUUCUGAAACAAAUGCAAUUUUCCAAUGUCCUUUUUUGUGGCACCUGACCACACGACUGAACAGUCGUAGGCCUGUAGGACCUACCUUGUUGACAGUGCUGUCAAGAUGGUAGAGCAGCGUCUUAUCAUAGACAUACUUCGCCACCUCUUAGCUACUGUAAUGCAAGUCCAUUAAAUAAUGUAUUAACAGAAAGUUUUGCAGUAUAAAGUACUUAGGGCAAGUAAUCACAUUGGCUUGUCCAGGUAGUGAUGUGUGAAGUUGUAGUGACAUUUUGGGGAUUUAGAGCUAAAUAUUAUUUUGAAUGUUAGAAGAUGAAAAAGGUAUUUAAUAUAUUGUUUAGAUCAAUGAAAACAAAGGCUAUUAAAAAUAUAUAUAUUUUUACUACUAUAUCUUUCCCUCAGUUUUAUUUCCUUGGAGUUACCGCCUGAAAAACCACUCAUUACAAAGAUAUACAAGGACCUCGACCAUUCCCUCCAGUGGAAAACAUUGGGGGAGACGUCUUUAUUAAAGAAAAUUGUUAGCUAAUCACACUAUUUUUUAUUAUGUCAUACAUUUGAGGAUUCCAUUGAUAAUGUGGUGUGUCUGAAUCCAGUGUCACUUGGGGUUAGUCCAUUUAAAAAGGGAAAUAACAUUAUGAGCUCAAUUAUUAAUCAUAUCCCUUUAGUCAACUAUUUUAUGGGUUAAUGAUCUUAGAUUUAAGUAUCGUGGCCUCCAUUUAAGAAAAUCCUCAAUAAACAAAAUUCUCAUUGGUGUUACGACUCCUACUGGUGGCACAAUGUUAUCCUAAUGGUCAAUACAUUUCAAUAAAUACAAAUCUAGAAAGCAUGUUGUUUUUAAUUACGCCAUACCCAAAUGCCACCGUAAUUCAAGAACGACUCUGGUAUAAAAAUAUUGAUUUGCUGAUGUUGGUAAACCCGGCUCUCAACACAGGUCAUCGGUACUUGGUCUCCUCCUUACCUCUUGUCCUCCAAAGAUUUUUUUUGAUUUGACCUUUAUUUAACUAGGCAAGUCAGUUAAGAACAAAUUCUUAUUUUCAAUGACAGCAUAGGAACAGUGGGUUAACUGCCUUGUUCAGGGGCAGAACGACAGAUUUGAUGAUGUCGGAGUCUCCAUCUUAAACCUCAUCUGGAAGAAGUCUGUCGUGUCUGAGUAUGUCAAACCUGGGAGUGAGUGAGAAAGUGAGACUAUUUCAGGUGGGUGGCUUGGCAACUCAAAUACAGCAGUGCAACAAGCUAGCUCACGAAGAGAUUAUUUGUUAUUUUACAACACAGUCAAAUACAAAACACGAGAGCAUCCUACAAACAGGCCGUGAAGGCCAGAGGGGAAGUCAAACACAAUGGAAUACUGAGAAGCACUGUGACCUCUGCCCCUGUGUGAUGUCAGAGAUGACCCAGGACAGUGUGUGCUUUGGGAUGCCUUCAAACAACUAAAUAGCAGCUCAAAGGUCUCCAUGAUCCCCCCAUAGACAACAAAAUAUACACAUCAGGGAAAUUCUAAAUAGGACAACAUCAUUACUGAGAAUUCAGAAUCAGAAAACAGAUAAUACCUAUAGUAGAUUCUAGAAUGUUGAUACUCAGAAUUGAAAUAAACCAGUGAUCUUUAGGCCUGUCUGCCUCAGAAGGUUGCACAGAGAACCACUGCGAUGGCACUGCCAAUCUUCAGUUAUCAUAGUACUGUACUUGACAGGCACACAGCACCGGUACCAUGAUAACUGAAAAUGGACAGUUCAUAGUCUGAGGUCUAACUCUGAGAGGAUUGAUGAUCCCACUGUCCUCCCGACUGAGACACCUGAUGAGAAACUACAAGGUAUAAAAUGUCAACACACACAUGUAGAAAUAUCAAUCUAACUGAAAACGGACCGUUCA